rnacentral:misc_RNA from 1 species
AGGAUGUAGAAAGAAUGAAGAUUCUAGCAAUAACUAGAAUUCAUAAGAGAAGGGAAGCAGUAAAAAUUUGUAGUUACAGCAACAAGCACUUGUCUCGUGUUUCUGGAAUUCGAACAAUCGAGCGCUGAAUACACAAGCUAAAAUGACACUUCCACGGGACACAUAUGACGCCUUGAUUUAGUAAUGAUUGCGCUCUAGCUGCUUUACGCGUUGCAAUUUGCGCGACAAUUAGCUACGUAAAAAGCCUUUGAAAGCUAAGUAUGUAAUUGCUGUUACUUGGUUUUUAGUACAGUUCUAAAGGCAAGAAUGUUUAAUUAGUUCUAAUUUCGUAAGUAGUGAACUUAUUUCUUAAUUCUUCGUCCUAUAUUUUUCACGAUCUUUUCAUCACAUGAUGUAUCAUAUAAUGUAAAUGUUUCAUCCCAUUUUAUUUAGAUUUUAUAAUAAUGAUGAUUAAGUAUCGAACGUAAAGUGUUUAUUAUCGGUUAAGUAUUUAAUUAUAUAUUUUAAAAAUUAAUAGUUCUCAUCGAUAAGUACUAAUUUAAUAAUAAAUAGAAUUAAAAGUAUAAAAUAUCGACGCAAGAUUGCUGAACGUUA